rnacentral:rRNA from 1 species
GGAGGAAGUAGGGGAUCGAAAGACCUUAUGCUUUUGGAGCGGCCGAUGUCUGAUUAGCUAGUUGGUGGGGUAAUGGCCUACCAAGGCGACGAUCAGUAGUUGGUCUGAGAGGACGACCAGCCACACUGGGACUGAGACACGGCCCAGACUCCUACGGGAGGCAGCAGUGGGGAAUUUUGGACAAUGGGCGAAAGCCUGAUCCAGCAAUGCCGCGUGAGUGAAGAAGGCCUUCGGGUUGUAAAGCUCUUUCAGUUGAAAAGAAAAGAUCGUGACUAAUAAUCGCGAUUCAUGACGGUAUCAACAGAAGAAGCACCGGCUAACUACGUGCCAGCAGCCGCGGUAAUACGUAGGGUGCAAGCGUUAAUCGGAAUUACUGGGCGUAAAGGGUGCGCAGGCGGUUCUGUAAGUCAGAUGUGAAAUCCCCGGGCUUAACCUGGGAAUUGCGUUUGAAACUACAAAGCUAG